GAUGAACGCUAGCGGGAGGCCUAACACAUGCAAGCCGAGCGGUAGAGUUUCUUCGGAAACUUGAGAGCGGCGCACGGGUGCGUAACACGUGUGCAACCUACCUUUAUCUGGGGGAUAGCCUUUCGAAAGGAAGAUUAAUACCCCAUAAUAUAAUGAUUGGCAUCAAUUAUUAUUGAAAACUCCGGUGGAUAGAGAUGGGCACGCGCAAGAUUAGAUAGUUGGUGAGGUAACGGCUCACCAAGUCAAUGAUCUUUAGGGGUCCUGAGAGGGAGAUCCCCCACACUGGUACUGAGACACGGACCAGACUCCUACGGGAGGCAGCAGUGAGGAAUAUUGGACAAUGGGGGAGAGCCUGAUCCAGCCAUCCCGCGUGAAGGAUGACGGUCCUAUGGAUUGUAAACUUCUUUUGUACAGGGAUAAACCUACCCUCGUGAGGGUAGCUGAAGGUACUGUACGAAUAAGCACCGGCUAACUCCGUG
rnacentral:rRNA from 1 species